UACGGAUGGUGCGAGCGUUAAUCGGAAUUACUGGGCGUAAAGCGCGCGCAGGCGGGCUGCCAAGCCAGAGGUGAAAUCCCGGAGCUUAACUCCGGAACUGCCUUUGGAACUGGUAGCCUAGAGUCUCGGAGGGGAUGGUGGAAUUCCUAGUGUAGAGGUGAAAUUCGUAGAUAUUAGGAGGAACACCGGUGGCGAAGGCGACCAUCUGGACGAGUACUGACGCUGAGGCGCGAAAGCGUGGGGAGCAAACAGG
rnacentral:rRNA from 1 species